rnacentral:rRNA from 1 species
UAAUACAUAAGUAACCUGCCCUAGACAGGGGGAUAACUAUUGGAAACGAUAGCUAAGACCGCAUAGGUACGGACACUGCAUGGUGACCGUAUUAAAAGUGCCUCAAAGCACUGGUAGAGGAUGGACUUAUGGCACAUUAGCUGGUUGGCGGGGUAACGGCCCACCAAGGCGACGAUGCGUAGCCGACCUGAGAGGGUGACCGGCCACACUGGGACUGAGACACGGCCCAG